rnacentral:rRNA from 1 species
GAGACAGCAGCCGCCACGGUAAAACGAGGGGUGCGAGCGUUAUUCGGAUUGAUUGGGUGUAAAGGGUGUGCAGACGGCUUAUUAAGUCACUUGUUAAAUUCUUCGGCCUAACUGAAGGUCUGCAAGUGAUACUGAUGAGCUAGAGGGUGGAAGAGAGAAGUGGAAUUCUCGGAGUAGCGGUAAAAUGCGUAGAUCUCGAGAGGAACACCAAUGGCGAAGGCAGCUUCUUGGUCCAUUCUUGACGUUCAUACACGUAAGCGUGGGGAGCAAACAGGAUUAGAUACCCCUGUAGUCCCUGUCUCUUAUAC